GAAACUGCGAAUGGCUCAUUAAAUCAGUUAUCGUUUAUUUGAUAGUACCUUUACCUGGAUAACCGUGGUAAUUCUAGAGCUAAUACAUGCUAAAACCCCCGACUUCGGAAGGGGUGUAUUUAUUAGAUAAAAAACCAAUGCCCUCUGGGCUCCUUGGUGAUUCAUAAUAACUUAACGAAUCGCAUGGCCUUGCGCCGGCGAUGGUUCAUUCAAAUUUCUGCCCUAUCAACUUUCGAUUGUAAGAUAGAGGCUUACAAUGGUCUUAACGGGUAACGGGGAAUUAGGGUUCUAUUCCGGAGAGGGAGCCUGAGAAACGGCUACCACAUCCAAGGAAGGCAGCAGGCGCGCAAAUUACCCAACGCUAAUUCAGCGAGGUAGUGACAAUAAAUACUGAUACGGGGCUCUUUCGGGUCUCGUAAUUGGAAUGAGUACAAUCUAAAUCCCUUAACGAGGAACAAUUGGAGGGCAAGUCUGGUGCCAGCAGCCGCGGUAAUUCCAGCUCCAAUAGCGUAUAUUAAAGUUGUUGCCGUUAAAAAGCUCGUAGUUGAACCUUGGACUUGGCUGAUCUGUCCUCCUAAU
rnacentral:rRNA from 1 species